UUGACCUCGAAUCAGGUAGGAAUACCCGCUGAACUUAAGCAUAUCAAUAAGCGGAGGAAAAGAAACCAACAGGGAUUGCCCUAGUAACGGCGAGUGAAGCGGCAACAGCUCAAAUUUGAAAUCUGGCCUCGGCCCGAGUUGUAAUUUGUAGAGGAUGCUUUUGAUGCGGCGCCUUCUGAGUUCCCUGGAACGGGACGCCAGAGAGGGUGAGAGCCCCGUAGAGUCGGACGCCAAGUCUCUGUAAAGCUCCUUCGACGAGUCGAGUAGUUUGGGAAUGCUGCUCAAAAUGGGAGGUAAAUUUCUUCUAAAGCUAAAUACCGGCCAAAGACCGAUAGCGCACAAGUAGAGUGAUCGAAAGAUGAAAAGCACUUUGAAAAGAGGGUUAAAAAGCACGUGAAAUUGUUGAAAGGGAAGCGCUUAUGACCAGACUUGCGCCUUGUGGAUAAGCCAGCGUUCUCGCUGGUGUUUCUGCUUGGUUCAGGCCAGCAUCGGUUUUCUUAGGGGGAUAAAAGCUUCGGGAACGUGGCUCCUCCGGGAGUGUUAUAGCCCGCUGCACAAUAUCCCUAGGGGGACCGAGGCCCGCGCUUCGGCAAGGAUGCUGGCGUAAUGGUCAUCAGCGACCCGUCUUGAAACACGGACCAAGGAGUCAAGCAUUAGGGCGAGUGUUUGGGUGUAAAACCCGCACGCGAAAUGAAAGUGAACGCUGGUGAGAGCUUCGGCGCAUCAUCGACCGAUCCUGAUGUACUCGGAUGGAUUUGAGUAAGAGCCUUACCGCUUGGACCCGAAAGUUGAUGAACUAUGCCUGUAUAGGGUGAAGCCAGAGGAAACUCUGGUGGAGGCUCGCAGCGGUUCUGACGUGCAAAUCGAUCGUCAAAUAUGGGCAUGGGGGCGAAAGACUAAUCGAAUCAACUAGUAGCUGGUUACCGCCGAAGUUUCCCUCAGGAUAGCAGUGUUGUUUUCAGUUUUAUGAGGUAAAGCGAAUGAUUAGGGACUCGGGGGCUACAUUUUGCCUUCAUCCAUUCUCAAACUUUAAAUAUGUAAGAAGCCCUUGUUACUUUAUUGAACGUGGGCCUUCGAAUGUAUCAACACUAGUGGGCCAUUUUUGGUAAGCAGAACUGGCGAUGCGGGAUGAACCGAACGUGGGGUUAAGGUGCCGGAGUGGACGCUCAUCAGACACCA
rnacentral:rRNA from 1 species